rnacentral:rRNA from 1 species
CACGUAGUUAGCCGUGGCUUUCUGAUUAGGUACCGUCAAGACGUGCACAGUUACUUACACAUUUGUUCUUCCCUAAUAACAGAGUUUUACGAUCCGAAGACCUUCAUCACUCACGCGGCGUUGCUCCGUCAGGCUUUCGCCCAUUGCGGAAGAUUUCCCUACUGCUGCCUCCCGUAGGAGUCUGGACCGUGUCUCAGUUCCAGUGUGGCCGAUCACCCUCUCAGGUCGGCUACGUAUCGUUGCCUUGGUAAGCCAUUACCCCACCAACUAGCUAAUACGGCGCGGGUCCAUCUAUAAGUGAUAGUAAAACCAUCUUUCACUUUACGAACCAUGACGGUUCUAAAUAUUUAUCCGGGUCACGUUUACGCCCCCGGGUUUCCCGGACGUUUACUUCCCAGUUCUUAUACGGUAGGUUACCCACGUGUUACUCCAACCCGUCCGCCGCUAACGUCAAAGGAGCAAGCUCCUUAUCUGUUCGCUCG